rnacentral:lncRNA from 1 species
GGACAGAAGCAUGGACAGAUGUCACAUCUAACAUCUGGUGUGAGAAAAGAAGCUGAAAACACAGACCUGGUGCCGAGAGAGCCGACAGAUAAGGACACCCAGCUAUCCCUUACAGGAACGGCCUUGAAUGUUCCUUCCCUGCUUUUGGGGCAGAUAUGCAAACACAUAGUUUUAACUUUCACCUGGAAAAGUGCCUGGAGGGAGCUGACUGUUGGAAAACUCAACUCAGGCAUUGUUUAAAAUUUAAGGUUCUCAGUCUUUCUGGGAUUUUAAGGCGCUGUAAUGUAAACACACACCAGAGCUGCCCUGUAACACCAGAGCUGGAGUCUGUGGAAGGGAGCAACUGUUGAAGCAUCUGGGGAUGUCAGGCAGGCAACUCUAGACGACUGACGGUACAGACAGACCCUGGAAGGUAACCCAGAAGACUGAUGAACUUCACAGUCUGAAACUCAGCUACCAGCCAUGGACCAGGGCUGGUUUUUAAAUGGGACAAACAUGCCACAAGAAUGUCGGAUGUGAGCUGUGAGCGUCUGUCUGGAGCAGUAGCCGAAGGGAAGCGCGAUAGCGCCACUUCUCUGUAUCUUUCAGACUAGUCUGAAAGAGUGUGUAUGCGGCUGGGUUUUGUUUGUUUCUUUUCUUUUCUUUUUUUUUCUUUCUUUUUUUUUUUUUUAAAUAUGGCAAGUUCCUCCCAAACUGAGCAACAGGAAAGGCCUGGAGAAGGGAGAAGAGUCAGAAUGAGCGGGCACUUGGUUUAAGUCAAAUGUUUGCUGGUCUUGUGCGAUUCAAAUUUACUUUAAAGUACCUUACACAAAGAACUACUGCCAGCUGAACUCCCAGGCAUGAAGAGAAGUUUUUAAGUUUUUUCUCCAAAAUGGCAGAGUCUCCAAGGGCACCCACUACACUUAAAGGACCAAAAAUCUGGUUCGACCCUACCCAGUUAGCGGGACUGGUGGGCCUCAGUUUUUUCUUUGGUGGAUAUGUCGUGGAUCAUGGGACCAUCAUCCGUGAGCGGGAAUCCCUCAGGACCAGGGUGUCCCUAGCCGGGCCUCAGCAUUCCCACCCGGGACUGAGCCACUAUAAGUCCAGAGCAGCAGCAGCAACAGCAGUAGCGCGGCCAGGAGGCCGAGCAGAGCGGCCCAGGACAUGGCUCGAGGGUGUGCGGCUACGGAGUGGCAACAGGUCACCGCCACCAACACUGGACCACAGGAGCCCCAGUCCAGCCAGCCCCGAAGGCUCCCACUCUAAGGGCCCGGCUGGAAAACGUGGGAUGGAGAGGGAGGAGCGGGAAGGGAGGGGUUGCCAGGGCUGCAGCGAGGGGAGGAGAGGGGAUUGGGGAGGCGGGCUCCCGGUGGUGAUGGGA